rnacentral:lncRNA from 1 species
CUACAUUCAUUUAACAUUUUACUUUUACAUAUAACAUCUAUAAUAUUACUCUCUCUACUUGUUUCAUUGUCAUAUUAAAAAAUAAGCUUUCUUCUAAAAUUGUGGAAUAACUACAAAAUCAACUUUAAAGUAAUAACAUUUAAUUUGUGGACACAUAUAUAUUAGUUAGUAAGAAUUCAAAGAGCUCAUAUUCAAAUUUCAGUGCAAUGUGAAGAACCAGUAAGACUCUCUAAACUUAAAACUUUUCCCAACACUAGUAAGACUACAAAAUACAACUGACGAAAACAUGAAAUUAAUAAUUAAAAAAGACAUAGUAUUUAAUUGUAUUUAGUUUUGUUGUAAGAAAAGAAGUAGAAUAGUUGGAAUUUAGGUUGGGAAGGUAAAAGAAAUAACGUGGUGGUAGGUGUUUUGUUGAUUAGAAAAGAGUACGAUCGAAAAUCCAUUACUUGAAUUGAAGGGCAAUAAUAACACACCUACAACUACAGGUAAUUAACAUUAGGAGCAUAUGUUACAGAGAGAUUCAGAGAUAGCCAUGCUUCACAUGCCACAUGCACAUGCCACGUCAGCAAUACUCAUGAUGAUUAUCCAACCAUUUCUGCAACCUCAGUUCUCUGUAGAAUCUCUCUAUGAAUUCCUCCGCCGCCUUGUCCACGUGAAACUCCUUCUCCACCUCCACCGUCUCCCUUUCUACCCUCACGCGCCUCCUUUCAUUGCCGGUGCCACGUCUCCUUUGCCGCCGUCCAUGCUCUGUACCCGGAGAUA